AAUGGCGGCUGAGAGAGAGCGAGCUGCCAAGGUCCUUUCCGGCGAGCAAGGGUGUUAAUGAGGUCCCAGGUUAUGGCAUGAUAUUAAAGACUGUUUUGGUAACAUCUAAACUGCCUGACCAGAAGGAUGGAGAAAAUCGCCCCGCAUUCCUGAAUUAUCUUACCCAGAUGAAGAUUGCUGACCAGAGCUUCAGGAGAAGAAGUUAUUGAACCUAUGCUAUCAGAUGGAACAGAGCCACUCACAGAUGGAUCUGCAAGAUAAAAUGGUUGAGGGGGAGUUGAAACUCAACAGAGAAGUUCAAACACAAGAGGAAUGCUUGAUUCAUGCAUUUGAGUUUAUGAAUAUGCAACAGGCUGGUACUUUUAAAGUGCAAGCCUUUUCGUUAUCAAGGUGUGCUUUCUGGCUGCAUGCCAGGCACCCAGCUGUACCAUUUUCCUUGUCUGUCUCCUAAUUGUCUUUUUUAUUAAAACUUGUUAUAAAUAAAAAA